CACCCCCUGUGAUAAUCACAUGUACGUAACACAAUCCUCUGGUCUAAAAGUACAUGCCUGAAAAGACUUUUUUUUUUUUUUUUUUUUUUUUUUGCCAGCCCGCAGAACAAGGGACCAGCAUUGUUUUGAGAGAGAUAACGGGCUCUGUUUCCACCAUUUCUCCCCGCUGGCCCUGAGAGAUACCACGGUGGUUCCUGACAGGAAAUCCCCUUGUGCCUCAUGGAAAACCCAGAGAAGGAAGCGGAGCAGCCCCCUGUGGAUGGUUCAGGCUCCUCCCAAAACUGUACAAGCAAAGAAAAGUCCACCGGGCAGGUCUGGGGCCCACGGCCCACAGGCUCUGACCAGCCCCGGCAGGGACACGGAAGCGUGAGGGAAGGCACGUGCACACCACGGCUCACACCGUGUGUGAGCGGCUCCAACGUGGCCUCGACUCUAACAACUUGAUCAAAUCUGCAGAGAAAGAGGCAUCACUACGCCCGCGUUUGCAAACAGAAACACCAGGGCCAAGAGACUGCCCAAGAUCUAACUCAAGGUCAGCACCAAGGUCGGCCUACUCCCUUCCCCGCCACUGCCACCCCACACACCGUCGGCACGAAGGCUCCCCAGAUGUAUUGCCUGUUCCUUCUAGAACUCAGAAACUGAGCUCUCCGAGGCCACUCGUGACGUCGGCCUGAGUCGCUGGAGUGGGAAAAAGGAGGGAACGGAGGUGGCAGAGUCCGGUCUGUUAAAGGCAGGUCUCCUCUGCCUGGAGGCUCCCGGUCCCUCCCGGGCCUCCUGUCCUGGCCACCGGUGGCACACGCCGAUCUGCGAGGAGCACGCAGCCCCACAGUGCAGCUGAGCCCCGGUUCCGGAGCUGGGCGCUCGCGGCCGGCACCACCCGGCCGGCCCCAGCCCACCCCUGCCCGGGGAAGGCAGGACCUGAGGACGCGGAUGGCGGCGCCAGCACUCUCCGAAAGCAGGAAGCCCCACCCCUCGCCCCGCCCCGUCUCGCCGGAAACUGGCAGGUGGAGCUGGGCUCCAGACCCCGCCAGGCCCUGCGGUGGGCCCGCAUCCCGGCCCUCCUCCCAGGGCCUGCCUUCUCCCAGAGCCACCUCACAGCUCCAGGGCUCUUAAGAGCCUCCAGCCGAAGCCCUUUUUACCGAGGACCCUUGCUUCCCAAAGUGUGUUUUUACCAACCAAACCGAAAUUGCUGAGCCGCGGUUCUUUCCUUUUCUGGGUGGAUGUGGGGCGCCCCUCGGAACGCGCAUGACUGAGCUGCACUGAAGAUCCCAUGGGAGCCCGUGCGCCCCCCUCUCUACUCCUCUGUGAGUAGCUGACAUUGUUUCCCCACCCCCACUCCUGCUGUGACCGGUCAGCCCAAACAUGGUGGCCUGAGGGCCGGGAGCUCACUCCAGCCUCUGCCCCACUUCACAUGCCCCCCGCCCCCGCCCCACCAUUACAAGGUGUCCUUCCGGAGGAGACUACAGAGGUUGUUAGAGUUCUGGGUAGGGGGGAGGGCACGCUCAUUAUUUCCAGUGAGACAAGGAUCUUCAGACCCCGCGAUGGAAACCAGAGAACCGUUCGUUGAACGUCAGAAAUCUGACAGCAUCAUCAGUGUCCAUCCAGCAAGCCCCGCAGGAUGGACCAGGCCCUCCCCGAAUGUCUUCCCAGCCUCAGAACCCACACCGGCACCUCGAGCAAGUGCGGAGCCCGCGUGGCCCUACUCGAGGAGCCCUGUCCUGCGGAGCCUCCGCUCUGGGCCCCGAAUUGUAGCCCUGAGGCCCCACGGAGCAGGUCUGAGUCUGAGGAUGUCCCUCAGGUACUCAGCGAGCUCGGUUCAGGCCUCCCCUGCUCUAGCAAGGGACACCCCCCUGCAGCCCGCCGGGGCAAACACCGCGGGGUCUUCUGGAUCCUUCUUCUCUGAUCUGGUCCCAGCUUGUCUCGACCCGUCGUUGACAAGGGAGGUGCCCGGAACUGAAAAGGAUGGCCGUCUGCAUGCUCAUCGGUCCUACAGAAUGGAACCCGAAUGCCAGGCUGAUGACAAGGAGCGAGACAGACAGACUCCAGCCAUCAUGAAGCUCCCGUCCUGGUAGAGGGGGCGGGGGAUGUGGGGAAACGGACGAGGACAACAUCAGACAGUGACGCUCCGCAGAGCGGAAGCAGGUCCGACGACGAGGCAUGACCAGAGGUCAGGUGGCCUCCGUGAGGGGCUGACAUUCGUGUUGAGAUCCGAGUGACGAGAACAGCUGGAGCGAAGUCCCCAGUGCAGCAGCAGACCCCCUUCUCUGCCGCCUUUCGAAGAGGGAGAGGCGGAGGAGGAAGGACUCAGCGAGCCUCUUCCACACCCGUCCCCACAAGAGCGGGCCCCUUGAGUGCUCUCUCCCUCCUCGUGUCCUAGGGCAGGUGGCUGACGUAGCCCGGAAGUCCCCUUCCCCACACCUGAGCAGCUGGAAUGGAGGCCCCUGGCUCCCUGCUCUGCUUCCUCCAGCAUCUCGAAAGAACCUUCCCAGAGCACAGAUGGGACCGUGCACCUCCUCUGAUUUAAAAUCUCCCUUUGAUCUUCUGGGGAGAAAACGGUGCCCUCAGAGGGCACAGAUGAUACUCCUUGUCGAAAACAAGCUGUUCCGGGCACCACUGCCUUAGCAGAGAGCGUAACCGACUUGUCCAAGGUCACAGGGCUGGUGACUGCCUCCACUGGGAUUUGAAAAGAAUUCCAAACUCAUGACAGUCGAGGCCAGCUGUCACGGGGCCCCUCCAGCGUCUCCCCUGCCUCCCAGGGAGUGGGGAUGCCCCGACAGGCAGGGCGCGUCCCGCCAUCAUGCUUUUAGCCUCUGCCAAGAACGCUUUCUCACCUGUUGGAGGUUUCCCCACCUCCAGUACCCAGCACGAAGCCACCCCUCAGCGUCUCAUGACCCUGGAAUCCAUCGACGACACACCUGCCUCCCACUGUCUUUGCAUAUGGUUGUUUCUGCCCACCUCUCGUCCCCCUCAGAGGGCAGAGGCUGGUGCGACAUUUCCCUCCGUGUCCUCACAGACCCGCGAUAAGGUGGUGGCUGCAGGAUGGGUGUCCCCACCACCACCGCCGUCUCCAUCGUGCUGUCACGACCACGAGGCUCUCGACGCGGGAGAGCACGGCUCCCCCCAGAGCACGGACAGCCCCCUCCCCAAGAUUUGACUUCCCUCUGGGUCAGAGGUCAAGUAGGCAGAAAGGCAGCAGAAAGCCGAGUUGGGCAAGUGCCUGGCACCAGAGUCUCCGGGUGGCAGAGUGGGUCCUGGGGCUGGCAGGUCACCAAGCAGAGCACCAUUUGUUCCCAAACAGAGUGACUCAGACCUGAUUCGUGCCCCAGCACCUCCCACCGCGGGGACCCGUGACGACCAGUGCCUGCUUCCUGGGAUUCCUGUGCACAGGCUGUGCCUGUCUGCCCCGUGGAGCAAAGGAGGGGUUGGGGGUGUGGGCACCUGGAGAGUCAUGGUUUCCAGGGACGCCCUGGGGCAGUGCUCCUUACCCUUGGCUUCUCAUUCUUGGCCCCACGAGCACCUGGGAGCGCAAAACAGGUGGUCAAGCCUGGGCCC